GACGAACGCUGGCGGCGUGCCUAAUACAUGCAAGUCGAACGCAGUGGGGACGGGUGAGUAACACGUGGGUAACCUCCCCAACAGAGGGGAUAACACUUGGAAACAGGUGCUAAACCUAUACUGAUGGCUGAACCCGCGGUGCAUUAGCUAGGCGGUGAGGGAACGGCUCACCAAGGCCACGAUGCAUAGCCGACCUGAGAGGGUGAUCGGACACACUGGAACUGAGACACGGCCCAGACUCCUACGGGAGGCAGCAGUAGGGAAUCUUCGGCAAUGGGCGAAAGUCUGACCGAGCAACGCCGCGUGAGUGAAGAAGGUCUUCGGAUCGUAAAACUCUGUUAUUAGAGAAGCGGUAUCUAACCAGAAAGCCACGGCUAACUACGUGCCAGCAGCCGCGGUAAUUC
rnacentral:rRNA from 1 species